rnacentral:rRNA from 1 species
UACAGAGGUCCCAAGCGUUGUUCGGAUUCACUGGGCGUAAAGGGUGCGUAGGCGGUCGGGUAAGUCUGAUGUGAAAUCUCACAGCUUAACUGGUGAAACUGCAUUGGAUACUAUUCGGCUUGAGAGUUGGAGGGGGGACUGGAAUUCUUGGUGUAGCAGUGAAAUGCGUAGAUAUCAAGAGGAACACCAGUGGCGAAGGCGAGUCCCUGGACAACUUCGUGACGCUGAGGCACGAAAGCUAGGGGGAGCAAACAGG